rnacentral:rRNA from 1 species
UCCCAGACUCCUACGGGAGGCAGCAGUGGGGAAUAUUGGACAAUGGGGGGAACCCUGAUCCAGCGACGCCGCGUGAGUGAAGAAGAAUUUCGGUAUGUAAAGCUAUAUCAGCAGGGAAGAAAGAAAUGACGGUACCUGACUAAGAAGCCCCGGCUAACUACGUGCCAGCAGCCGCGGUAAUACGUAGGGGGCAAGCGUUAUCCGGAUUUACUGGGUGUAAAGGGAGCGUAGACGGCGAUGCAAGUCUGAAGUGAAAGGCGGGGGCCCAACCCCCGGACUGCUUUGGAAACUGUAUAGCUGGAGUGCAGGAGAGGUAAGUGGAAUUCCUAGUGUAGCGGUGAAAUGCGUAGAUAUUAGGAGGAACACCAGUGGCGAAGGCGGCUUACUGGACUGUAACUGACGUUGAGGCUCGAAAGCGUGGGGAGCAAACAGGAUUAGAUACCCCGGUA